GUUCGCACACUUAAAACACACAGGAAUUGCUUGCAAAAUGCCUUGCUAUUUUAUUCUCAACUCUUGUUUAACGUUCGCGUUUGUGCGUACCUGUAAAAAUGAGAACAUCCUGAAAUAUAUAGAGUUAGUAGUAUAGGAAAUAACUAAAGUUCUAGUGCUAUACUCUUCCUUGGUGGAAGAGUUCUAGUUAUCUUCAACUUCUAACUCCUCCCUUAUCUAAGAUAGAAUUCUCUUCGAAUAAGGAGUCAUUUUCCUUAUCAAUUAUGCAACAUUUUUUGUUUAGGAGAUAUCAAAUAUAACAACUUAAGCUUAUCUUCUUCACGUGCACGCCUUGUGCUUGAAUCUGCGCCAUACGUCUGUGUACACUAUGUAUUGACCUGGAC
rnacentral:lncRNA from 1 species